CGUGAACGCCGGCGGUAGGCCUAACACAUGCAAGUCGAACGGCAGCACAAUAAGAGCUUGCUCUUACGGGUGGCGAGUGGCGGACGGGUGAGGAAUACAUCGGAAUCUACUUUUUCGUGGGGGAGAACGUAGGGAAACUUACGCUAAUACCGCAUACGACCUACGGGUGAAAGCAGGGGAUCUUCAGAUCUUGCGCGACUGAAUGAGCCGAUGUCGGAUUAGCUAGUUGGCGGGGUACAGGCCCACCAAGGCGACGAUCCGUAGCUGUUCUUAGAGGAUGAUCGGCCACACUGGAACUGAGCCACGGGCCAGACUCCUAAGGGAAGCAGCAGUGGGGAAUAUUGGACAAUGGGCGCAAGCCUGAUCCAGCCAUACCGCGUGGGUGAAGAAGGCCUUCGGGUUGUAAAGCCCUUUUGUUGGGAAAGAAAAGCAGCAGGUUAAUACCCCGCUGUUCUGACGGUACCCAAAGAAUAAGCACCGGCUAACUUCGUG
rnacentral:rRNA from 1 species